rnacentral:miRNA from 1 species
ACAGACAUAUAUAUGCAUACAUAUAUGUAUAUAUGUACAUGUGUGUGUGUGUGUGUGUAUAUAUAUAUACACACACAUAUACUACACAGUCCUUUAUGACAGAGAAAU